UAACUUCUAGGCAGUUUGUCCCUGCCGCCGCCGCACUCACCUUCCGCCUCGGGAUCCUCCCACAUCCCCUUCUCACCCAACCAGCGAGUUCCUUCCAGCAUCCCUCGAUCCCCUCCUCAAUUUCUUCAUCGAGCCAACCAGUCACCUCGCCGGAGUCCAGCAGUCGCCAUCCAUGCGUGCCCCUAUUUCCUUCUCCCCCCUCGAGCUGUCUCUCUCUCUGAUUCCUCAAAUCCCCUUUCUUCUCUGUGUUCCACAGGACGCCAAGGAUGCAAUAGCUUGACCCCGCCGCUGCCGUUCGAACUCUCCGGCCGGAUCUCCCUCUACUGCUGGGAACGGGUUCCCCGCACCCCGAUCUGCCUUCACCACGUCGCCGCGCGACCACCUCGCCUCCUUGCCGGCCUCCUCCACCAACCCACCGUGCCGAGCAGCAGCACCCUGUCCGCCUCCCUCUGCCCAUCAAAGCCACCAGAAUCUCGCUUCUGGAGCAAGCAACUCCUCCUUGCCGCCCCAUGCGCUCCGGUGAGCCCUGCCGUCGCUUGCCUCUCCCUUCGCCUCGCGCCCGUUCUCCUUAUCUCACCUCUUUAUCGCUCGUGUCUCUCUGUUCGAGCAGGACCACCCCCGUCGCCAUGGAUGGGUGAGCCCCGCGCGCGAGCUCCGUAGGCCGCCGCUGUUGCCCGGAACCGAUGCCGGACGACUCGAACCGCCUCGUUCCGGCUGGUUCCGGCCGAUUCCAUCGCCAGGAACCCCCCCUGUGUCUUCCUCUCCAUCGCCAUGGGCCUGCUGUUGUUUCUGUUCUUCAGAAACGAGAGCAGCAGCGGCUCCCUCAUCCUUGUGCGUUGACCCGCUCCAGCGCCAGCUCCCCUGCAUCGCUCGUCCCCUGCAUCGCGUGUGUGGCCUCUCGUGGCAGAUCGCCAAGGCCCACCGCGCCUCUGCCUAGCCGGCCUGCCCGGCCUCCUCCCACCGACCGGGCCUUGGCCCAUGGUGAGCCCCCCUGCAGUGCCUCUCUUGUUUUUCUUCUGCUGGCCCAACAUGCUGUAGAUUCGGCCCUGUUAUGUUUUUUUACCGUCUCCGAAUUUGUCUAAUUCAUCCAGUGUUUACAGAUUUACAGAAAACCCCCUGUUGUUCAUGCAUUAAUAACUCUUGAACCGUGCAUCAUAUUAAAAUGUAUUAUGUAUGUAAAAUGCUUAGAAUUUUGUGUAGAUUAAUAAUAUUCCACUUUCAUCCAUGUUAAAAAUGUUAAAAAUGAUGUUUGUUUAAAUUUUCUUAAAUAAUAUGCUAAAAUGCUUUAUUUUAUAACUAAAUAACCGUAGCUUGGUUUUAAAUAAACUUUAUAUGUAAAUGGGGUGAAAAAAUGCCUAGUUUAACAUGGUGGACUUUAUUUUCCUUUUUAACAACUCUAAAAUUAUGUAAUAGGUAGAACAGUACCAAAACUAAAAUAUGGACAUGAGGAUUUUCCCGGAAUUGUUGUUUGUUGUUCCGGCCUCAUUUAAACUUGCCUAGAUGGGUAGUUUCAUUAUGUUUCACCUCUUGCCAUGUUUAACAACAAUUAAUAUUGUUGGGUAGCCUAAACGAGAGCGAACUAAAUAACUCGAAUGUGGUGUUUCGUCAAUAUGCAACUCGUUGCAUAUUGAGCUCCACUUAAUUUGUAGUGUUGUUUGUUGCACUUUGCCAUGCCAUGCUCUUUAAACCGGACAUGCAUCAUACUUGUCUGUGCAUCAUGCCAUGUUUAUGCUUGUGCAUUUACCAUGUUGUUUGUUUCUUUCCGGUGUUGCUUCUUAGUUCCGGUAAUGUUGCAUUUGUAAGGAUUCGUUCGACUACUCCCAUUCGUCUUCUUCAUGGACUCGUUCUUCUUCCUAGAGGGAUUUCAGGCAAGAUGACCGCUACCCUGGAUCUCACUACUAUCAUUGCUAUGCUAGUUGCUUCGUUCUAUCGCUUUGCUGCGCUACCUAUCACCUGUUUACCAAGCCUCCCAUAUUGCCAUGAACCUCUAACCUUUGAUACCUUUCCUAUGCAAACCGUUGUUUGGCUAUGUUACCGCUUUUGCUCAGCCCCUCUUAUAGCGUUGCUAGUUGCAGGUGAAGUUGAAGAUUUCUCCAUGGUGGUCAGGAUUUUGGUUGGGAUAUCACAAUAUCUCUUAUAUUAUUAAUGCAUCUAUAUACUUGGUAAAGUGUGGAAGGCUCGGCCUUAUGCCUGGUGUUUUGUUCCACUCUUGCCGCCCUAGUUUCCGUCAUACCGGUGUUAUGUUCCCGGAUUUUGCGUUCCUUACGCGGUUGGGUGAUUUAUGGGACCCCCUUGACAGUUCGCUUUGACGAAAACUCCUCUAGCAAGGCCCAACAUUGGUUUUACCAUUUGCCUCACCUAGCCCUUUUUCCCUUGGGUUUCCGGAGCCCGAGGGUCAUCUUUAUUUUAGCCCCCCCGGGCCAGUGCUUGUCUAAGUGUUGGUCCAAACCGAGUGAUGUCCGGCGCCCCCUAGGCAACCAGGGUCUAUGCCAACCUGUCGUCUUGCUCAUCCGGUGUGCCCUGAGAACGAGAUAUGUGCAGCUCCUAUCAGGAUUUGUCGGCACAUCCGGGCGGCUUUGCUGGUCUUGUUUUACCAUUGUCGAAAUGCGUUGUAAACCGGGAUUCUGAGUCUGAUCGGGUCUUCCUGGGAGAAGGUAUAUCCUUCGUUGAUUGCGAGAGCUUAUCAUGGGCUAAGUUGGGACACCCCUGCAGGGUAUAAACUUUCGAAAGCCGUGCCUGCGGUUAGGCAGAUGGGAAUUUGUUAAUGUCCGGUUGUAGAUAACUUGACACCAGAUACGAAUUAAAAUGCAUCAACCACGUGUGUAGCCGUGAUGGUCUCUUCUCCGCGGAGUCCGGGAAGUGAACACGGUCUUUGGGUUAUGUUUGACGUAAGUAGGAGUUCAGGAUCACUUCUUGAUCAUUACUAGUUGACGACCGUUCCAUUUGCUCUCUUAUCGCUCUUAUUUGCGUAUGUUUAGCCACCAUACAUGCUUAGUCACUGCUGCAACCUCACCACUUUACCCAUUCCUUUCCCUUUAAGCUUUGCUAGUCUUGAUACCCAUGGUAAUGGGAUUGCUGAGUCCUCGUGGCUCACAGACUACAACAACAGUUGCAGGUACAGGUUGCGAUGAUCAUGACGCGAGAGCGAUGCUUGCUUGCGUUGAGUUCUUCUUCUGCUUCUUCUUCGAUCAGGGGAUACGUUCCAGGUCGGCCGCCUAGGCUAGCAGGGUGGAUGUCGUUUGAGCUUCUGUUUGUGUUUCAUCCGUAGUCGGAUGUUGUUCUCAUGUAUGAUAUGAUGUUGUAUUCGUGUGUCAUUGUAUGCCUCUUGUAUGUAUCCUCAUCUCUUAUGUAAUGUUAAUGUAAUGAUAUCCACCUUGCAAAAGUGUUUCAAUAUGCGGUUCUAUCCUUGGUGGGACCUUCGAGUCUCUUUAGGAUAGUAUCGCAUAUUGGGCGUGACAGUUCUUUCCCA
rnacentral:lncRNA from 1 species